rnacentral:tRNA from 1 species
AGUGCUGUAGCUCAGUGGUAGAGCACUUGUCCAGCAUGCACAAAGCCCUGGGUUCAAUCUCCAGCACCACAC